GAUUCAAGUGAAAUUUUCUACCAGUAGGCACCAAAGGAAGUCAGACAGAUGUAUUUAAAUAUGAUUGAGAGCAUUUACCUUCUGUAUUAGUAACUGAAUAUAUCCAUACAUUCAUCAAAAUAAUGAAUAUUAAAUACAUCAUUGUUCUUCUAACCAUAUUGAUAACAAUGUCAUCAGUAUGCGAAGGACUCCAGCAGUUUGGACGUUGGGCACAAAUACAGCCUACGGAAGAUGCCAGUCAAUCAGUAAACCGUGUCAUUCGAUGUUCGGGAUGCAAACAGUCGGCUACAAGAGAAAAUAAACGCACCCGACCUAAACUCUCUCGCAAAAGUCCACUGCCUUUCUAAAAUCAGGCACACCAGUGCACCCAGUACUUCUUUUCUGCGAAGAUCAUGUCCUGUGCCAUCUACGAGCAGAGCAAGCAAGGACAAACAUCUGUUUACUAUCUCUUUGAAGAAUACAAUCCAUAUUUCUGUUGAGAUGCAGAAGAUAUUAGUUUCAGCUAUUCCCUAAUACUGCCGCAGAAGGACCCCAAAUUUUCCAGAUGUGAAUCCGCCACUUGAGUGAUUAUAAUCAAAAGGUCAACAGAAAAUGUAACAUGCUUUGAGACUUGCUGUUCACAACAAACAACCACCAUUUUUUUUGUACAUACACUCCAGAGGAAACCAAUUUUAUAUGUAAGCAAGAGAUCUUGUAUCAGCUACUUCUUGCAACAUACCCAGUAGAUUAUGAAUAAUUAAAAUGGUUUAGAGACAGCUUUAAAAAUAGUAAUCACCUGAUAUUUAAAAAUACCAAUAAUAGAGUUCAAGAAAAUGUCAUUAUAAGUGACUGCAUAAGUGAAAUACUGUCAGCUGCAGAAAAUCUACUUCAAUUAUUUAUGGUCCAUUAAAAACAGGACAAAUGGUAGCAAAUCAGAGUUUAAAAUAUUAUCCAAGAUUUAGAUCUUAUUAUAUAUUAACAUUGUACAUUUCUACUAUUUUCUAUAAUGGGAUUUAAAAAGAUGUAAAUUCUUGCUCCAUAUGCCCUGUAGCUGCUGUUUAACACAACA